UAUUUCAAAAAAUACUUUUUAAAUCAUUGUUCUAUUUCUUCUAUGUCUCUUCUUGCUCCAAAUAAAUAUCAUAGUUUGGUGCAGAGAAAUAUACGAAUUUGAUAUGUUUUGGUUGUGGUUAGAAAUUGUUAGUUAAUGGUUGUUUGUACACCGUGUGAAUUGAAUUUUUGUUCAUCAAUUUUAGUAGUGGUGAACUUUGCUUCAAUAUUCGUCCCUGCAGAGUAGCUUUGGUCGGCACACCCUUUUAAAAAGGGCCCUUUUAUAAGGGACAGUAAUUAUAGUUAGAAAUUGCUAUAUUUGGUUUGGGUGUAAACCUUUCUUCAUUGUGUCAAAAAUAGGUUGACGAAAUUAAUUGAUUGAGAAUAGAACUUCAAAAGAAGAUUCUGAAAGUUGGAAAAUUUGUAAAUAAUAAUUAGAUCGAUGGUUACUCUAUGGACCAAGUUGUCUUAUACUUUAGUCUCUACAUUACUGGGUUCCAGAAUAUAAUUUUUUUAAAUAUUAUUAUGCUGGCUAUCUAUUAUCUUCUAUUGCCCUUCAACUUGUAUAGCAAUCCAAUAUUUCGUUCGUUACCUGUUAAUGGUAUCAAUUUUAAUAUGACUUCUACAGUAUGUAUGUAUAUUUGUCCUUUUCUAGACAUACACAUAUUUAGUAACAUUACCUAUAUUCCCCAUUAUAUUUGAUCGUACGGAGCUAACAAAUGAUAAAAAGGUGGCAGCUAUUAGUAGCUUCUCAGUACUUCUACUUAAAGGUAACAGUUCAUAAAGCAGACCAACUAAACAGUUAAUGUGCAAAAUUGCUCCUAAUGAGUUAUCAUCGCAGAAUAUCAAUCGGUUCUCAACUGAACAGGUCCCUGAUGCCAACAGUGACUAUGAACGAGUACCACAAGCGCAACGAAUGCAUAGUGUUAGUUAAAAUAUUCUAUCUUCUCAUGGUUAUGCAACGAGUACCACAAACAUCAAGGAUACCUAGUGUAGCUAAAAAUACUUCACUUUCUCAUGGUCAUACAAUCUAAUGAUCGAUAAUUUAGCAGGUCGAAUAUUUCAAUACGAUAACGAGUUGCAGAAAUUAUUUGAAGACUAUUAUUCGUUAGGAUUAGUCAUAUAAUGACAUUAGCUAUUUACUUCAAACAAUAAAAAUUUAUUUUUAAGUUACUGUGAUAUUAAUAUUUUGGAUUUGUACUUCCUUUUAUUUGUUAAGAUUUAGUGAGAUACAUUAUGUUUUUA